GGAUUGCCCUAGUAACGGCGAGUGAAGCGGCAACAGCUCAAAUUUGAAAUCUGGCGCCUUCGGUGCCCGAGUUGUAAUUUGUAGAGGGUAGCUCGAGCCCGCCCCCGUCUAAGUCCCCUGGAACGGGGCGUCGUAGAGGGUGAGAAUCCCGUAUGCGACGGGGUGGCGUGCUCGUGUGAGCUCCCUUCGACGAGUCGAGUUGUUUGGGAAUGCAGCUCUAAAUGGGAGGUAAAUUCCUUCUAAAGCUAAAUACCGGCCAGAGACCGAUAGCGCACAAGUAGAGUGAUCGAAAGAUGAAAAGCACUUUGGAAAGAGAGUUAAAAAGCACGUGAAAUUGUUGAAAGGGAAGCGCUCACGACCAGACUCGGGCGCGGCUGCUCAGCCGGUCUUCUGACCGGUGCAUCGGUCGCGCCCGGGCCAGCAUCGGUUCGGGCGGUCGGAUAAAGGUCUCGGGAACGUAGCUCCCCUCGGGGAGUGUUAUAGCCCGGGGCGCAAUGCGGCCUGCCCGGACCGAGGAACGCGUUCGCUAGGAUGCUGGCGUAAUGGUCGUUAGCGGCCCGUCUUGAAACACGGACCAAGGAGUCUACCAUCUGUGCGAGUAUUAGGGUGUCAAACCCUUGUGCGUAAUGAAAGUGAACGGAGGUGGGAACCCUCGGGUGCACCAUCGACCGAUCCAGAUGUCCUCGGACGGAUUUGAGUAAGAGCACCGCUGGUGGGACCCGAAAGAUGGUGAACUAUGCGCGGAUAGGGUGAAGCCAGAGGAAACUCUGGUGGAGGCUCGCAGCGGUUCUGACGUGCAAAUCGAUCGUCAAAUCUACGCAUAGGGGCGAAAGACUAAUCGAACCAU
rnacentral:rRNA from 1 species